rnacentral:rRNA from 1 species
ACGGCUCAGUAACACGUGGAUAACCUGCCCUUGGGUCCGGCAUAACCCCGGGAAACUGGGGAUAAUUCCGGAUAACGCACAUAUGCUGGAAUGCUUUAUGCGUAAAAUGGAUUCGUCUGCCCAAGGAUGGGUCUGCGGCCUAUCAGGUAGUAGUGGGUGUAAUGUACCUACUAGCCUACAACGGGUACGGGUUGUGAGAGCAAGAGCCCGGAGAUGGAUUCUGAGACAUGAAUCCAGGCCCUACGGGGCGCAGCAGGCGCGAAAACUUUACAAUGCGGGAAACCGUGAUAAGGGGACACCGAGUGCCAGCAUCAUAUGCUGGCUGUCCAGGUGUGUAAAAUACACCUGUUAGCAAGGGCCGGGCAAGACCGGUGCCAGCCGCCGCGGUAACACCGGCGGCCCGAGUGGUGAUCGUGAUUAUUGGGUCUAAAGGGUCCGUAGCCGGUUUGGUCAGUCCUCCGGGAAAUCUGACGGCUCAACCGUUAGGCUUUCGGGGGAUACUGCCAGGCUUGGAACCGGGAGAGGUAAGAGGUACUACAGGGGUAGGAGUGAAAUCUUGUAAUCCCUGUGGGACCACCUGUGGCGAAGGCGUCUUACCAGAACGGGUUCGACGGUGAGGGACGAAAGCUGGGGGCACGAACCGGAUUAGAUACCCGGGUAGUCCCAGCCGUAAACGAUGCUCGCUAGGUGUCAGGCAUGGCGCGACCGUGUCUGGUGCCGCAGGGAAGCCGUGAAGCGAGCCACCUGGGAAGUACGGCCGCAAGGCUGAAACUUAAAGGAAUUGGCGGGGGAGCAC